AAACAGUCUAAAAUCAUUCGCUUAUUGAAGUUUCUCAGUGAAGUAUCGAAAUUUUCAUCGUAAAGAAAUUACAGAUUGAGCAAAAAUGAAUUUUCGUCUCGGAUUUUGUCUGAUGCUGGUUCUCUUUGUGACUGCUUUCAGUGUUGAGGGUAGAGAAAAAGGUGCCAACCGUAUGUACCAGGGACCAUGCCGCGCCGAGUGUAUUCCUAAUUUCUUGGAUUGUCCAAGAGAUAUACCAGGACAAUGUUUUCAAGGUUUUAAGUGCUGCUAUUUUGGCUAGUCGCAACUGAAGCAGACGACAGUUAGUAGACUCAAAGGAUAAAAAAGGGAAAAUAAAAGUAGAAUGAAAAUUGGUUAAAU